rnacentral:SRP_RNA from 1 species
GCUGGGCGUGGUGGUGCACGCCUGUAAUCCCAGCUACUCAGGAGGCUGAGACAGGAGAAUCGCUUGAACCCAGGAGACAGAGGUUGCAGUGAGCCAAGAUUGCACCACUGCACUCUAGCCUGGAUGACACAACAAGACUCUGUCUCAA